rnacentral:snRNA from 1 species
AGCUUUGUGCAGUGGCAAGUAUGGUAGCCAUGAGGUUUAUCCAAGGAGCGAUUAUUGCUAAUUGAAAACUUCACUUUGCCCAUGUGUGUAUUUGUGCCCAAAAUCCCAAGAGGAA